GCAUUCGGAUCACCAACGCUGUGACCUCGCUGUGUGAACGGGAGCUACUACAGGAAGGAAGCUUACAAAUGAGCUGCAUGGAUCCCACAUUUUGCUAAAAUCAAAUAGGACCUUUCUCCUCUUUGUUGAAUGCCGUAAUACACAAGAAAUAAGCCAGCAGGAUGCUCAUGUCCAAGGGUUUCCCUUUAUCUACCACACGAGUUGGCAUGAAACAACUUCUGGGGUUCAAAUCUUCUGAACAAUGAUACAAGUCUUGGCAAAUUUCAAGAAUAAUUUAAAGAGGAAAUAAAUAGCUUUUUGUUUAACUUGGAUCAAUUAUCUCCUAUUGGCUCCCAGCUUCAUGCCAGGUACUCUCCACUGUGCCUGGGAA
rnacentral:lncRNA from 1 species